CUUGAGAGUUUGAUCCUGGCUCAGAAUGAACGCUGGCGGCGUGCUUAACACAUGCAAGUCGAACGAUGAAGCCUAGCUUGCUAGGUGGAUUAGUGGCGAACGGGUGAGUAACACGUGAGUAACCUGCCCCUGACUCUGGGAUAAGCGUUGGAAACGACGUCUAAUACUGGAUAUGAUCACUGGCCGCAUGGUCUGGUGGUGGAAAGAUUUUUUGGUUGGGGAUGGACUCGCGGCCUAUCAGCUUGUUGGUGAGGUAAUGGCUCACCAAGGCGACGAUCCGUAACUGGUCUGAGAGGAUGAUCAGUCACACCGGAACUGAGACACGGUCCAGACUGCUACGGGAGGCAGCAGUGGGGAAUAUUGCACAAUGGGCGCAAGCCUGAUGCAGCCAUGCCGCGUGUAUGAAGAAGGCCUUCGGGUUGUAAAGUACUUUCAGCGGGGAGGA
rnacentral:rRNA from 1 species